rnacentral:rRNA from 1 species
AUUGAACGCUGGCGGCAUGCUUUACACAUGCAAGUCGAACGGUAGGGUAGCAAUACCUGAGAGUGGCGAACGGGUGAGUAAUGUAUCGGAACGUGCCCAAGAGUGGGGGAUAGCCCGGCGAAAGCCGGAUUAAUACCGCAUACGAUCUAUGGAUGAAAACGGGGGACCGCAAGGCCUCGUGCUCCUGGAGCGGCCGAUAUCAGAUUAGGUAGUUGGUGGGGUAAAGGCUCACCAAGCCAACGAUCUGUAGCUGGUUUGAGAGAACGACCAGCCACACUGGGACUGAGACACGGCCCAGACUCCUACGGGAGGCAGCAGUGGGGAAUUUUGGACAAUGGGCGCAAGCCUGAUCCAGCAAUGCCGCGUGCAGGAUGAAGGCCCUCGGGUUGUAAACUGCUUUUGUACGGAGCGAAAAGGCUUCUUCUAAUACAGGAGGCUCAUGACGGUACCGUAAGAAUAAGCACCGGCUAACUACGUGCCAGCAGCCGCCGUAACAC